GGGCGAAAGCCUGAUGCAGCAACGCCGCGUGAGGGAUGACGGCCUUCGGGUUGUAAACCUCUUUUGGUAGGGAAGAAGCCUUCGGGUGACGGUACCUGCAGAAAAAGCGCCGGCUAACUACGUGCCAGCAGCCGCGGUAAUACGUAGGGCGCAAGCGUUAUCCGGAAUUAUUGGGCGUAAAGAGCUCGUAGGCGGUCUGUCGCGUCUGCUGUGAAAUCCCGAGGCUCAACCUCGGGCUUGCAGUGGGUACGGGCAGACUAGAGUGCGGUAGGGGAGAUUGGAAUUCCUGGUGUAGCGGUGGAAUGCGCAGAUAUCAGGAGGAACACCGAUGGCGAAGGCAGAUCUCUGGGCCGUUACUGACGCUGAGGAGCGAAAGGGUGGGGAGCAAACAGGCUUAGAUACCCUGGUAGUCCACCCCGUAAACGUUGGGCCCUAGUUGUGGGGUCCUUUCCACGGAUUCCGUGACGUAGCUAACGCAUUAAGUUCCCCGCCUGG
rnacentral:rRNA from 1 species